UGGUUUGAUCUUCUAUCUAGGCCACUAAACUUUCUCUCUGUCAACAAUAAGUCUGUUUUGCUUUCUUAUUAUUCAUAUGUUCACUGGAGUAGCACUUUUAAUAUCCUUCAAGGAUUUUUCCUUUGCAUUCACAACUUUGCUGUUUGGUGCAAGAGUCCUAGCUUUCAGCAUAUCUCAGCCUUUGACAUGCCUUCCUCAUUAAGCUUAAUUGCUUUUAGCUUUUGAUUUAAGAUGAUAAAUGUGCAACUCUUCCUUUCACUUGAACAAUUAGAGGCCAUUUUAGCAUCAUUAGUUGGCCUAAUUUCAAUAUUCUUGUGUCUUGGGGAAUAGACCCAAGCAGGGGGAGAGAGAUGGGGGGAAUGUCGGUUGGUGGGGUAGCAAAAACACACCCAAUACUUAUCAAUUAAGUUCACUAUCUCAUAUGGGUGCAGUUUGUGGUGCCCCAAAACAAUUACAAUAAUAACAUGAAAGAUCACUGACCACAGAUCGCCAUAAUAGAUAUAAUAAUAACAAAAAAUUUUAAAUAUCAAAAGAAUAACCAAAAUGUGACAAAGACCCAAAAGUGAGCACAUGCUCUUGGAAAAGUGACACCGAUAGACUUGGUCAGUGCAGGGUUGCCACAAACCUUCAAUUAAUAAAAAAUGCAGGAUCUGUGAAGCACAAAAAAGCAAACUACAGUAAAAUUAAGUAUGCUCGUAUCAGUUUUCCCCACAUCACUUAUGUAAGGGGCUAUCCUUUCCCCAUUGUGUGUUCUUGGCACCUCUGUCAAAGAUCAGUUGACUGGGUUCUCUAUUUUGUUCCAUUCGUCUAUAUGUCUGUUUUUAUGUCAGCAACAUGCUGCUUUGAUUAAUGUCACUUUGUAAUAUAUUUUGAAGUCAGGAAGUGUGAUGCCUCUAGCUUCAUUUUUCUUGCUCAAGAUUGACUUGGCUAUGUGGGGUCUAUUGUGGUUCCAUAUAAAUUUUAGCAUAAUUUUUUCUAUUUCUAUAAAGAAUGCCAGUGGGAUUUUGAUAGAGAUUGUACUGAAUCUGUAGAUCACUUUGAAUAAUGUGGCUUUUUUUUUUCUUUUUUUUUUGAGACAGAAUUUCGCUCUUGUUGCCCAGGCUGGAGUGCAAUGGCGUGAUCUCAGCUCACCGCAACCUCCAGCUGCAGGGUUCAAGGGAUUCUCCUGCCUCAGCCUCUCGAGUAGCUGGGAUUACAGGCAUGCACCACCAUGCCUGGCUAAUUUUGUAUUUUUAGUAGACACGGGGUUUCUCCAAGUUGGUCAGGCUAGUCUCGAACUCCCCAUCUCAGGUGAUCCACCCACCUCAGCCUCCCAAAGUGCUGGGAUUACAGGCAUGAGCCUCUGUGCCUGGCCUAAUGUUGACAUUUUAAAAAUAUUGAAUUUUCCAAUCCAUGAACAUAGGAUGUAUUUCCAUUCAUCUGUGUCUUCUUCAGUUUCCUUCAUCAAUGUUUCAUAAUUUUCAGCAUGCAAGUGUUUCUGUUUUGGUUAAGUUUGUAGCUAUUGUAAAUGGGAUUGUUUUUUAAAUUUCCUUUUCAGGUAGUUUUGCUGUUUGUGUGUUUUAGUAUGUUGGUUAUCCUGUAACUUUACUAAAUUGGUUAGUUAGUUCCAACAGAUUUUUUUCCUUUAGGGUUCUGUACAUAUUUGAUUGUGUCAUCUGCAAACAGAGAUAAUUUUACUUAUUCUUUUACAAUUUGGAUGUUAUUUUGGUCUAAUUAUUCUGGCAAGAACUUCCAGUAAUAUGUUGAACAGAAGUGUCAAGCAUGAACAUCCUUGCCUUGUAUUGGAUCUUGGGGGAAGCUUUCGACCUGUCCCCCAAGGUUUGAUUGUGGUGUUAGGUUUGGGCUUUUCAUAUAUGAUCUUUGUUGUUUUGAGGUAAGUUCCUGCUAUAUUUAUUUUGUUGUAGCUUUAAUCAUGAAUGGAUGGCAAAUUUUGUCAAAUGUUUUUUUCUGCAUCUAUUGAGAAGAUCAUGUGGUUUUUUCUUUCAUUUUGUUAAUGUGCUGUAUCUCAUUGGUUGAUUUGCAUAUAGUGAACCAUCCUUAACUCCCAAGGAUAAACUCAAGUUGGUCAUAGUAUAUGAUCCCUUUAAUGAGCAACUGAAUUCAGUUUGCUAGCAUUUCAUUGAGGACUUUUGCAUGUAUAUUCAUUGGGACUAUUGCUCUUUAGUUUUCUUUCUUUCUUUUUCUUUUGUAUAGUGUUUUUGUCUGGUUUUGGUGUCAGGAUGAUGCUGGCCUCAUAGAAUGAAUUUGGAAGUAUUCCUUAUCUUUUUGGGAAGAGUUUAAGGAGAAAGGGUAUUAAUUAUUUUACAAAUGUUUCAUACAAUUCACCCAGGAGGCCAUCUGAUUCUGGGCUUUUCUUUGCUGGAAGGCUUUGAUUAUUGAUUCAAUGUUCUUACUUGUUAUUGGUUUCUUCAGGCUUUCUAUAUUUUCUUAAUUCAGGGUAUAUGGUUCUAAUCUUCUAAGUUAUAGUUUAUUGGCAUAUAAUUAAAUUGUUCAUAAUAGUCCCUUAUGAUUCUUUUUUUUUUUUUUUUUUUGAGACAGUCCCACUCCAUCACCAAGGUUGGAAUGCAGUGGCAUGAUCUCAGCUCACUGCAGCCUCCACCUCCUGGGUUCAAGCAAUUCUCAUGCCUCAGCCUCCCAAGUAGCUGGGAUUACAGGCAUGUGCCAUCACACUCGGCUAAUUUGUGUAUUUUUAGUAGAGAUGGGGUUUCACCAUGUUGGCCAGGCUGGUCUCGAACUCCUGACCUCAAGUGAUCCACCCUCCCUGGCCUCCCAAAGUGCUGGGAUUAUAGGCGUAAGCCACUAUGCUCAGCCGAUUCUUUUUAUUUCUGAGGCACUCUUUGCAAUGCGUCCUCUCUUAUUUCUGGUUUAUUUGAGUUUUUUUUCUUUUUUCUCAGUCUAGCAAAGACUGAGAUUUUUUGUUGAUUUUUUGUUUUCAAAAAACCAACUCUUAGUCUUAUGGAAUCUUUUCUCUUGCUUAUAAAAUUCUCUAUUUGAGGCCAGGCCUAGUGGCUCAUGCCUGUAAUCCCAGCAGGAAUCAAUUCCUGAGGUCAGGAGUUCGAGACCAGCCUGACCAACAUGGUGAAACCCCGUCUCUUACUAAGAAUACAAAAAUUAGCCGGGCAUGCUGGUGGGCACCUGUAAUCCCAACUACUCAGGAGGCUCAGGCACGAGAAUCACUUGAACCCGGGAUCAUGCCACUGCACUCCAGCCUGUGUGACACAGUGAGACUCUGUCUCAAAAAAAUAAACAAAUAAAUAAAUAUAUUCUCUAUUUCUUCUUUGAUCUUUAUUAAUUCCUUUAUUCCACUAAUUUGGGGCUUAGUUUGCUCUUUUUCUAGUUCUUUGAGGUGUAAUAUCUUAUUUGAGAUCUUUCUCCUUCCUCCCUUCCUCCCUCCCUCUCUCCCCUCCCUCCCUCCCUCCCUUCUUUCUUUCUC
rnacentral:lncRNA from 1 species